AAUGAAGCAGUUUUGGUGUAUAGAACAUGCCCCUGCAACCUCACUGCUCAAUCCUCUGCCAUUUAGGAGUUAAAUCCCUUUGUUUGUGAACCCUAGUCACACCUCCCUGCAUGUGACUUGCACAGCCUUCCAUAAACACUUCCUGUAAAGAGAGCCCUAUUUAGGCUUUCUUUAUUGCAAGUUCUGUUUAAUAAAGAUUUUCUUAUCCCCUGCUAUGUUAAUAGCUUGCUAGACCCUGCAAGAGCCUCCUGUAUGUGAUUAAAGUUCAAUUUAGAGAUUGAGAUACAAUUAUUUAAGGUAAAUUACAUCUGUUUGAAAGUGAAACCAGUUUUUUUUUCAUGCAGG